UUGUCUCGAGUCUCGACCUCUUCUUCUGGCUUUCAAAUCUCUCCCGCCUCUAAAACCACCCUAAAACUAGCAGUACAGUAUUUUGUGUUUCGUUUACAUAGAGAGCUGUGAAUUCCUAAGUUUUAAUGAUGUGAUUUAGGAAUUCUCUGUCACAUCAUAAAAGUUUAGGUAUUCGACAGCUCUCUAUUUCAACAAACACAACACAAUAUAAAAAGGAAGGAGAAAGAAAGAACUGUUAAACUCGGAACUGAGAUGUGUGCUCUGUUUUUGAGCUAAUGAAUGAAUCAUCACAACUAGGAGGAGCUGGUUCUGGAUGUUCUGAAGUAGCUUUUGAUUUGGGAGUCAAUCUAGUUUGAAGUAGGUUUUGAUCUGAUGAGAAACUGAGAUUGGACGGCUUUACAACAACUGCAGUGGUGCUUAAUUAUGAAGGUGAAACAAAUUAGAAACUUAUGAAGGUGAUUUUUUUUUUUUUUCAGCUUAACAACAAAUAGACCUUCAUAAGUUUCUAAUUUUUUCAAUGGAUCCAACCAUUGGAGAUGCUCUAAUAAUUAGUAGGAAGCAUUUUGGCCAAAAAAAACUGAUGCUCUAUAAAGCCAUUUUGAGUUUUAGUUCUUA